GCUUGCUCUUAUGAAGUUAGCGGCGGACGGGUGAGUAACACGUGGGUAACCUGCCCAUAAGACUGGGAUAACUCCGGGAAACCGGGGCUAAUACCGGAUAACAUUUUGAACCGCAUGGUUCGAAAUUGAAAGGCGGCUUCGGCUGUCACUUAUGGAUGGACCCGCGUCGCAUUAGCUAGUUGGUGAGGUAACGGCUCACCAAGGCAACGAUGCGUAGCCGACCUGAGAGGGUGAUCGGCCACACUGGGACUGAGACACGGCCCAGACUCCUACGGGAGGCAGCAGUAGGGAAUCUUCCGCAAUGGACGAAAGUCUGACGGAGCAACGCCGCGUGAGUGAUGAAGGCUUUCGGGUCGUAAAACUCUGUUGUUAGGGAAGAACAAGUGCUAGUUGAAUAAGCUGGCACCUUGACGGUACCUAACCAGAAAGCCACGGCUAACUACGUGCCAGCAGCCGCGGUAAUACGUAGGUGGCAAGCGUUAUCCGGAAUUAUUGGGCGUAAAGCGCGCGCAGGUGGUUUCUUAAGUCUGAUGUGAAAGCCCACGGCUC
rnacentral:rRNA from 1 species